UACGUAGGGGGGCAAGCGUUGUCCGGAUUUAUUGGGCGUAAAGAGCGUGUAGGCGGCCGUACAGGUCAGCUGUGAAAACUCGAGGCUCAACCUCGAGACGUCGGUUGAAACCGUACAGCUAGAGUCCGGAAGAGGAGAGUGGAAUUCCUGGUGUAGCGGUGAAAUGCGCAGAUAUCUGGAGGAACACCGGUGGCGAAGGCGACAUCCUGGACCGGUAUUGACGCUGAGGGCGCGAAAAGCCAGGGGGAGCCAAACGGG
rnacentral:rRNA from 1 species